CGCGGCCUAUCAGCUUGUUGGUGAGGUAACGGCUCACCAAGGCAUCGACGGGUAGCUGGUCUGAGAGGACGAUCAGCCACACUGGAACUGAGACACGGUCCAGACUCCUACGGGAGGCAGCAGUGGGGAAUCUUGCACAAUGGGCGAAAGCCUGAUGCAGCGACGCCGCGUGGGGGAUGAAGGCCCUAGGGUCGUAAACCCCUUUCAGUAGGGACGAAAAUGACGGUACCUACAGAAGAAGCUCCGGCCAACUACGUGCCAGCAGCCGCGGUAAGACGUAGGGGGCGAGCGUUGUCCGGAAUUAUUGGGCGUAAAGAGCUUGUAGGCGGUUCCGUAAGUCGGAUGUGAAAACUCAGGGCUCAACCCUGAGACGCCAUCCGAUACUGCGGUGACUUGAAUCCAGUAGGGGAGUGUGGAAUUCCUGGUGUAGCGGUGAAAUGCGCAGAUAUCAGGAGGAACACCUAUGGCGAAGGCAGCACUCUGGGCUGGUAUUGACGCUGAGGAGCGAAAGCAUGGGUAGCAAACAGGAUUAGAUACCCUGGUAGUCCAUGCCGUAAACGGUGGGCACUAGGUGUGGGGACUUUCAACGGUUUCCGUGCCGAAGCUAACGCAUUAAGUGCCCCGCCUGGGGAGUACGG
rnacentral:rRNA from 1 species